UACGGAGGGGGCGAGCGUUAUUCGGAAUUAUUGGGCGUAAAGGGCGCGUAGGCGGCUAGGUAAGUCAAAGGUGAAAUCCCUCGGCUCAACUGAGGAACUGCCUUUGAAACUGCCUAGCUUGAGGCCGGGAGGGGGUGGCGGAAUUCCCAGUGUAGCGGUGAAAUGCGUAGAUAUUGGGAGGAACACCAGUGGCGAAGGCGGCCACCUGGACCUGUUCUGACGCUGAGGCGCGAAAGCGUGGGUAGCAAACAGG
rnacentral:rRNA from 1 species